UCUGUGAAAGCGAAGCGCUGCUGAGUUAGCUGUGGCCAUCGGAUUUCUGAUGAGAGUAACAAACACGAUAAUUGGCAAGUCACGUAAUUGCUUGCAUUUUAAUCGGUGCGUUUUGCAUCCACUGAAAACAAAGAUGUUAACAAAUAAAAUGGAUAGUAUCCUGCAUGUUCAGUGAUAUUUUCAGUUGCGGUCUUGACAUAAAAUGCAGAGUCCUCAGCGCCCAAGACCGAGACCAAAUGCAGUCGAGUCAGACGAGACGGAGACCAUCAAAUAAUGGUCUCGAGACCGAUCUCGAGUACUACACUGCUCUCCAGGGAAAACUGGGUGGACAAAGCAUUUUGAAUGACUGUGAUGGUGACACACACGUGGGUCUGAUUAGUUUUGUUCACACUUCUCUUUAAAAUGUUUAUCCUGAUGUGUCUGCUAUUUAUCAUGUUGUUCCUCCAGGCUGGGAAAACCAGGCAUUCUUCUGUUGGUUCAUGUGCUUCGUCCUACAUCCACAGGCCACAAGAAGAAUCCAAAACGGCUCAUGUCAAACUGUGGAUCAUGUUGUCAGAAAUGUGCAGUCUUAUGUCAAAGAUGCAGGCCAGUGUUGCAGCCUUCCACAUUGGUGUGGAACCAGGACAACCCUUCCUCCUGCAUGUUGGUAAAAACAAGGGCAGCACCAAAGACACUUCACCAUCAGUGAUCACAAGAUCAUCCAAGGUAGCUUUUGAUGAACUUUCAAAGCACACUUCACCUUCAGUGCAAAGUACCUCUACAAAUUCUGUACAUUAAUCCAACCUAAAGUUUUCAACAUUGAUGUGACUUGCACAACAAUUGAGGAGUUUAAGAUUCUUGCUUUUACUUUACCUGGCAGAGUGGACAUUCUGAUGACCAUUUAAAUGCAUACUGUAUCAAUAAGAUUUGUUUUAUGUUCUUCCAAUUAAGGACUUUGUUUAUUACAGUCCCUGUGACAAGCAGUUUUCUGUAUGGAUAGCAUUGAAGGCCAUAUUGUCUUUGAGAGGGUCCAGCCAACAUUCCAGACAGGACAGUGUUCAUCUUCUACACCUUCAACACCCAAUAUUAACAUGAGGCAGCCAAAACUUUGGUUCAUUCAACUGUAAAACCAUUGCUAUAAUUUUAUUUUUUUUACAAUGAGCAAAAUACAAUGACAUGGUUUUAAAGCAAGUUAUGAUUAACAUUUGAUAAAGGUGGUGUUUUCUCUUUAUGUAAUUAAAAACAGCUUUAUUUAUAUAUUGUACCAAGCUGUCUUCAGAAUGGCACACUAUUUAUAUUCUCAUAUGUUCCCAUUUUUGAUUUUGCUUUUUAGUCACUUCAUUAGGAUUAACCCAGAAAGGGGCACAAGGGGGAAGAUGUUAUCCAAAAAGACAGGGAAGACCAUUCAAAAGAAAAAGCAGGCAGUGAAUGUGCAGUUUUCCACCCUCAUCAAAAGCCUGAUGGACUUUGAGUGGCAUCCCAUUCAGUGGCCGACGGGUGCAAAGACAUGUGCAACACAAAAAUGCUGAAAACAAAAGUGAUGCAGACCACUACGGGGAGUCGAACAAAGAACAGCUGUGUCCGAAGUCAGGUUUUGCAUCAUUGGGUCUUCAACGACUGGAAGAGGGAAGCUGUAGCGUUCAACCUUCUGCUUAGCCUCUACCUUGGCAUGAUGUUGCUUAGCAACCAUAACGUGAAUCAGAGCGGUUAAGAAAAAAACUGACUCGAU